GCCCUUCCUAUCGCGGACCUGCGGGGCUAUAUGAAGAUUGCCGGCUGCAAAGCCGGAUAUGGCGAUAAACGGCGACCGAAAUAAACCAUUCGGACCCGGGGGCGGUACCCGGCGCCUCCACCCAAGGUCAGCGCGCUGGCCUUUGGCGGGGGCGAAACAGGAUCGACGAGGGCGUAAAGGGUCGGCUUUUGCUCGGCAUGGUUCCACCGUCAUCGGGCAUAGCAUAGUUGCCAAUGACAACAAUGCGCGUGUUGCAGUUGCCGCGUGAGCGGUAAUUACACACAAACCUAAGUCCUUGCGCUUCGCAGCGUAAGGCGGGGCCCGGAGGAGCCUGGCAACAGAAUCCUCCACC
rnacentral:tmRNA from 1 species